rnacentral:rRNA from 1 species
AUGAACGCUGGCGGCGUGCUUAACACAUGCAAGUCGAACGAUGAAGCCCAGCUUGCUGGGUGGAUUAGUGGCGAACGGGUGAGUAACACGUGAGUAACCUGCCCUUAACUCUGGGAUAAGCCUGGGAAACUGGGUCUAAUACCGGAUAGGAGCGUCCACCGCAUGGGGGGUGUUGGAAAGAUUUAUCGGUUUUGGAUGGACUCGCGGCCUAUCAGCUUGUUGGUGAGGUAAUGGCUCACCAAGGCGACGACGGGUAGCCGGCCUGAGAGGGUGACCGGCCACACUGGGACUGAGACACGGCCCAGACUCCUACGGGAGGCAGCAGUGGGGAAUAUUGCACAAUGGGCGCAAGCCUGAUGCAGCGACGCCGCGUGAGGGAUGACGGCCUUCGGGUUGUAAACCUCUUUCAGUAGGGAAGAAGCGAAAGUGACGGUACCUGCAGAAGAAGCACCGGCUAACUACGUG